CAAACAUUGUAACAUUUAUCAUUUCAGAUAAUCCUUUUGAUUGAACUUUUUUUGAGAAACUGUACAAAUUAAUAGAGGAAGAGCAACCUUUUUUUAUAAGGCACAAGGGUCUGCUGAGAAAGAUUUUGGGAAAAAGGAUGAGUCCCUGGAUGUUCAAGCUGAGCCUACAAAAUCUGAUCAAGUUUUACAGCUAUGCGAGAAAUAUUUGUUGAGAACAUGUACCUCUUAAGGAAAUGUGUGUAUAAUAAUUUCAAAAGAAUCCUUAAAAAUCAAAGCAGGCAAAUUUAGUUACUUCAACUUGUAUCAGAUAAUGGGUAAUCCUUCAGGACACUGAUUAAAAAAGGAUCCUUAUGGUUGACUUGCAGUAGAUUUAUUCCUUUUAGAAAAUGUAAAUCAUGACGUGUUUAUGUAGAUUUAUGUUUCUUCUUUUAUAAACAAUAUUUUUGUCAUACUUCAAGCACUUUAGUAAAAGAAUUAAUCAUGCUUU